GCCACGCCCGCUCAAGAAACGUUAAAGGAAUUAGGACGGGGCCCGCGACAAGCGGAGGAGCAUGUGUUAAUUCGAUGAUACGCGAGGAACCUUACCUGGGCUCGAACGUAAGAUGACUGUAGGUGAAAGCUUACAUCUCUUCGGAGCAUUUUACGAGGUGCUGCAUGGUUGUCGUCAGCUCGUGCCGUGAGGUGUCGGGUUAAGUCCCAUAACGAGCGCAACCCUACCUUUAGUUGCCAUCAGGUAAUGCUGGGGACUCUAAAGGAACUGCCUACGCAAGUAGUGAGGAAGGCGGGGAUGACGUCAAAUCAGCACGGCCCUUACGUCCAGGGCUACACACGUGCUACAAUGGCCGAUACAGAGGGCAGCUACCUGGUGACAGGAUGCAAAUCUCCAAAGUCGGUCUCAGUUCGGAUCGGAGUCUGCAACCCGACUCCGUGAAGUUGGAUUCGCUAGUAAUCGCGCAUCAGCCAUGGCGCGGUGAAUACGUUCCCGGGCCUU
rnacentral:rRNA from 1 species